UCCCUGGUGGCUCAGACGGUAGGGCGUCUGCCUACAAUGCGGGAGACUCGGGUUCGAUCCCUGGGUUGGGAA
rnacentral:tRNA from 1 species